CAGUCGAACGAGAGCGUAGAGAAAGCUUGCUUUUUCUACAAUCUAGCGGUAAACGGGUGAGUAACGCGUAAACAACCUGCCCUACGGAUGGGGACAACAGCUGGAAACGGCUGCUAAUACCGAAUACGUUCCGAAAGUCGCAUGACUAUCGGAAGAAAGGAUGGCCUCUAUUUAUAAGCUAUCGCCGGAGGAGGGGUUUGCGUCUGAUUAGCUAGUUGGAGGGGUAACGGCCCACCAAGGCGACGAUCAGUAGCCGGUCUGAGAGGAUGAACGGCCACAUUGGAACUGAGACACGGUCCAGACUCCUACGGGAGGCAGCAGUGGGGAAUCUUCCGCAAUGGGCGAAAGCCUGACGGAGCAACGCCGCGUGAGUGAAGACGGCCUUCGGGUUGUAAAGCUCUGUUAUACGGGACGAAUAAUCUUGUGGUUAAUACCCAUGAGAAGUGACGGUACCGUAAGAGAAAGCCACGGCUAACUACGUGCCAGCAGCCGCGGUAAUACGUAGGUGGCAAGCGUUGUCCGGAAUUAUUGGGCGUAAAGGGCGCGCAGGCGGCUUCUUAAGUCUGUCUUAAAAGUGCGGGGCUUAACCCCGUGAUGGGAUGGAAACUGGGAAGCUCAGAGUAUCGGAGAGGAAAGCGGAAUUCCUAGUGUAGCGGUGAAAUGCGUAGAUAUUAGGAGGAACACCAGUGGCGAAAGCGGCUUUCUGGACGAAAACUGACGCUGAGGCGCGAAAGCCAGGGGAGCGAACGGGAUUAGAUACCCCGGUAGUCCUGGCCGUAAACGAUGGGUACUAGGUGUAGGAGGUAUCGACCCCUUCUGUGCCGG
rnacentral:rRNA from 1 species